CCUGCUCCCUACCCCACCCCGUGAGGCUGCUGUGUCACAUGUGGGUUAGUAGGUGGCAGAGAAAAGAGGGGCUGUGUCUACACUCGUGUUCUGACCUAUGAACAUCUGAAUGAUUAGUAGCGUAAGAGU